rnacentral:lncRNA from 10 species
AAAUUCGAAAUGGAAACUAUGACAUGACUCAACAUCCUCAAGCCCUGAAGUAAUAAUUAGCACAUAAAGUUGGUCUGUUAUGGACUUUGUGUUGUGCUCCCUGCAAAAUUGGAUACAGAGAGAAGACAGCUGUCUGCAAACCAGAAAGAGAGUCCUCACUGCACUUCAUAUCUGCCAAUGGAUCCUUGCUCUUGAACCUCCCAACCUGCAGAAUCAUGAGAAACAAACAUUGUGUAAGCCACCCACUCUACAGUAAUUUGUUCUAGCAGACCGAGCUGACUGAGCAUUUGCUCUAGGGGAAGCCUGCAGCUAUGUCAUGAGGACCCUCAACAGCCCUGUGCAGAGGACUAUGUGGCAUGAAAGAUACCUUCUGCCAACAACCAGCCCCAACUUGCCAAGCAUGUGAACAAGCUAAACUGAAAGCAGAUCUUCAGCCCCAAUCAAGCCUUCAGAUGACAGUAACCUCAGCCAAUAUACUGACUAUAACCUCAUAAAAGACCCUGAACCAGAACCCUCUAAGCCACUCUCAAACUCUACCCCACAUAAACUGUGAAAU